rfam:Geobacteraceae bacterium GWC2_55_20 gwc2_scaffold_950, whole genome shotgun sequence.
GGAGCGCCCGUCCUAUCUGGGCGGGCGAGGAUUGAAAC